GUUAUGACAUUUAAUGGCAGCGCUGCUUGGUAGCGUCAUAGAAUGAAAUGCAGGUGCUGAAAUAUGUACUGUGUAUCACAUAAAUUGUGUCAUCGUCACUGAAGAAAACAAAGUUGGUGAUCUGGAUUAAGCACAGUGGACUUUGAGACCAUCAUGGCACACAGCAUCCUUCAACCAUCCAACUUCACUGUUGAAGAGUCGGAAUAAGAGCCAUGCUAAUCCAGCCUGGUUUAAAGCUUCUCCUGGAAGAUGUUGACCACAUUAACAUCACCUUCUUGUUGCUGCUGCUAAUAUACAAUCUGACACAGAUUUCAAAGUUACUUGAUAAAGAUCCUUCAUUACAGAGUGAACGUACAUUCAUUCGUGCAAGUGUACCCUCUCAUCACCACAGUCAGCAAAAAGCUGAACAACAUUAACUUGGAGAUUGGAUGGGACGGGAUUAUUGAUUAUGGCUGAUUGGAAUAUAGGAAUGAGUAGGCAAAACUAAUCUUGAGAUGGAGAUCGUGUACUAAUGAAACGGGUGGACAGAGGAUAAAGUGGAGAGCAGUGACACACAGGAAGAUGACGACACAAACAGGGCAUCAACACAAAGGCCUCUGGAGAGAGGCUAUCCUUGGCUAGCUGGCCGUUAGCGAGGUGGCAUUGACCUUAUCCACUGCGCCAUUGACUGUGGAGGAAUUAGAUCUAAGAUGUGGACAGAGCAGAGCCUGGUGGGGUCAGAAAAAUAAAGUCAUUGCUUACACAGUGGCUGCAUGUGUGCCUUUGUUUCUAACUCCAGGUGUUGAUU